GAAAAUCCUCUGGUGAAGAUUAACAACAACAACAAAAAUUAAAUGUUUUAAAUUUAAUAUAUAUCCACAAAACUGUGUUUUUACCUCCUUUCCUCUUAUCAGUUUGUACACUACAGCAGGCAGAGUCUGAAUACAAAAGUCUGACUUUCACAUAUGAAGUAACAGUCUCCAGAAAACCCUAUUAAGUCUGAGUGUAGUCAAUAAGGUUUACAACAUUGCUAAAAAUGAUGUCAUACCUCAGAAGUUUAAAAACAGAACACACAAUUAUAAGACAAAAAGUGUCCUUUUCAACUAUGUUAAUUUCUACCAUUCAGAAACUAUGCAAAAAACUGCUCUUCUUUCCACUUCUAAUUUCAAGUGUAGCUUCCUUCCCUCAAUGAUGGGUCACCAGAGUCCCUCCCUUUUGGCUGCAAGUCAAAUGCAGGUCUCACCUGGUGCCUUUGUCAGAAUGCCCGGGCCCCCUCCAUUUCUAUUUUCACCCCUGAUUCAAGCUUGUCCUCCUUGCUCAUGUAGCCUCCUCCUCCCCUCCCACCAGUUCCCUGGGCUCCCUCCUGUUUCUUUCUCGUGUUCUUACUCCCACAGCCCCUCUGGCAGGCGGGUGUCCAACCUUCCAUCUGGAUGAGCAGAUUCUGCUUCCCUCACAGUUUCUCUCAGAAUUGACAGUUUCACUGAACACAAACAAAAAACCCCAAACUAAAACCAAAACAAAUAAAUAAAACACUCUCUCGCUUUCUCUGUCAUCCACUCAACAGCUGCUGGAGAUUCAACAUUUUGAUGUGAUUGAAAAGCUUCAAAUCCCAAUUCUUUAGGUUGACACAGUCCCCGGGACACGUAGUCAGAAUCCUGAGGGCACAGGAGGCUGUCAGACUGAGGUCGGCUGCUUUGAGGGUGUCACUCUGUCCCCCUCAAUGUCACCUGUUGGUCUACUCUUGUCAUUCUGUUAUUUCUGUGGAGCUGCUGAAGCUACUAGGUGGAGAGUGAUGGUCAGUUCUUCUCAGAUUUUCAGAUGAACUCUCAUUUUUCUUUCUUAACUUCUUGUGUCUGUUCCCAGCGAAGUGUCUUUUUUUUCAUUUUCCUGACACCUUACAGAGCCGUUAGUAUGGGUUGGUCUAUGCUGGUGUGACAUCUAAAAUGGCUGGUUACUACCUGGCUUCCAGAUCGACAUUCCCACAUUGCUUCCAAAUUUUGGAACGAGAAACCCCUGGCUGAGACUUUGCAAUCAUGUGCGACACAUCAGAAGCAUUUCAUCUGGGCCCAGAAAAUCUAGGUGAGGAGAAGGGUGUCCUCACUCAAGAGCAUGGAGGUUUCACUCUUCUGAUCAAGGAACACCAGUCAAACUGACCCUUUGCAUUGAAAGGAACCCAGGGAAGGUGCUCAUUGUCUAGGAAAGAAAAGAGGACAUUGCUACAAAGUGGGAACUGGACUUUCAAAAUGUUUAAUCAAGGUAGUAAAUGGGUGACAAUUUAUUGUACUGCUCAAUACAUUUGAGGGAAUACAUCAUUAAAAUAACUUGUUCCUAAUAGCUUUCUUCUUGUUUGGUACUUGC